rnacentral:rRNA from 1 species
UACGUAGGUGGCAAGCGUUGUCCGGAAUUAUUGGGCGUAAAGCGCGCGCAGGCGGUUCUUUAAGGCUGAUGUGAAAGCCCACGGCUCAACCGUGGAGGGUCAUUGGAAACUGGGGAACUUGAGUACAGAAGAGGAAAGCGGAAUUCCACGUGUAGCGGUGAAAUGCGUAGAGAUGUGGAGGAACCCCAGUGGCGAAGGCGGCUUUCUUGUCUGUAACUGACGCUGAGGCGCGAAAGCGUGGGGAGCAAACAGG